CCUACGGGAGGCAGCAGUGAGGGAUAUUGGUCAAUGGGGGAAACCCUGAACCAGCAACGCCGCGUGAGGGAAGACGGUUUUCGGAUUGUAAACCUCUGUCCUCUGUGAAGAUAAUGUCGGUAGCAGAGGUGGAAGCUACGGCUAACUACGUGCCAGCAGCCGCGGUAAUACGUCGGGAGCAAGCGUGAUCCGGAUUUACGGGGUGUAAAGGGGGCGCAGACGGCGAUGCAAGCCAGGAGUGAACGGCCGGGGCGCAACCCCGGGACUGCGCGUGGAACUGCGUGGCUGGAGUGCAGGAGGGGCAGGCGGAAUGCCUGGUGUAGCGGUGAAAUGCGUAGAUAUCAGGAGGAACACCGGUGGCGAAGGCGGCCUGCUGGACUGCAACUGACGUUGAGGCCCGAAAGCGUGGGGAGCAAACAGGAUUAGAUACCCCAGUAGUC
rnacentral:rRNA from 1 species